rnacentral:rRNA from 1 species
AUUCUGGCUCAGGAUGAACGCUAGCUACAGGCUUAACACAUGCAAGUCGAGGGGCAGCAUUCGAUAGCUGCUAUUGAAGAUGGCGACCGGCGCACGGGUGAGUAACGCGUAUCCAACCUUCCCCAUAGUAGAGGAUAGCCCGGCGAAAGUCGGAUUAAUACUCUAUGUUGUAUUUUGAGGACAUCUGAGGAAUACCAAAGAUUCAUCGCUAUGGGAUGGGGAUGCGUCUGAUUAGCUUGUUGGCGGGUAACGGCCCACCAAGGCGACGAUCAGUAGGGGUUCUGAGAGGAAGGUCCCCCACAUUGGUACUGAGACACGGACCAAACUCCUACGGGAGGCAGCAGUGAGGAAUAUUGGUCAAUGGGCGCGAGCCUGAACCAGCCAAGUAGCGUGCCAGGAUGACUGCCCUAUGGGUUGUAAACUGCUUUUAUGCGGGAAUAAAGUCAGGUACGUGUACCUGUUUGUAUGUACCGCAUGAGUAAGGACCGGCUAAUUCCGUGCCAGCCGCCGC